UAUUUCUUUCUCUUAAAAAAAAAAAGAAGAAUCUAUGACCCUUUCAACUCUUUACCUAUUUCAAAACUCAAUACUUAUCAUCCCACUGUGCAAAAACAGAGGGCACUGAAAUACAAUUAAAAACACAUUACGGUCUGGGCACAGUGGCUCACGCCUGUUAUCCCAGCACUUUGGGAAGCGGCGGUGGGUGGAUCCCAAGGUCAGGAG